rnacentral:rRNA from 1 species
AACGAACGCUGGCGGCAUGCCUAACACAUGCAAGUCGAACGAGACCUUCGGGUCUAGUGGCGCACGGGUGCGUAACGCGUGGGAACCUGCCCUUAGGUUCGGAAUAACUCCCCGAAAGGGGUGCUAAUACCGGAUAAUGUCUUCGGACCAAAGAUUUAUCGCCUUUGGAUGGGCCCGCGUUGGAUUAGCUAGUUGGUAGUGUAAAAGCCUACCAAGGCGACGAUCCAUAGCUGGUCUGAGAGGAUGAUCAGCCACACUGGGACUGGGACACGGCCCAGACUACUACGGGAGGCAGCAGUGGGGAAUAUUGGACAAUGGGCGAAAGCCUGAUCCAGCAAUGCCGCGUGAGUGAUGAAGGCCUUAGGGUUGUAAAGCUCUUUUACCCGGGAUGAUAAUGACAGUACCGGGAGAAUAAGCACCGGCUAACUCCGUG